AUCAUUUGCUCUCUUGCCUGAGGCCAAGGAAGAUGUGACUCUUCCCCUUUCGCCAUGAUUGUAACUUUCCUGAGGCCUCCCCAGCCAUGCAAAACUAUUGUUCGCUGUUAGUGUAUAGAAACACUACUGACAGGCCAUAAUGAAUAAUGAGAUUGAAGGAGUAAUAAAAGUCUUCCACCAAAGAAAAGCCCAGGACCUAGUGGAAUCACUGCCAACCUUUGCCUAUCAGUAAUACCAG
rnacentral:lncRNA from 10 species